rnacentral:rRNA from 1 species
GACGUAGGGGGCCAGCGUUGUUCGGAAUUACUGGGUGUAAAGGGUUCGUAGGCGGUGCGGCAAGUCGGGAGUGAAAUCUCUGGGCUCAACCCAGAGGCUGCUUCCGAAACUGCUGUGCUUGAGUGUGGGAGAGGCGCGUGGAAUUGCAGGUGUAGCGGUGAAAUGCGUAGAUAUCUGCAGGAACACCCGUGGCGAAAGCGGCGCGCUGGACCACUACUGACGCUGAAGAACGAAAGCCAGGGGAGCAAACGGG